rnacentral:tRNA from 1 species
GGGGUUAUAGCUCAUCUGGGAGAGCGCGUGCCUUGCACGCAGGAGGUCUACGGUUGGAUCCCGCAUAGCUCCG